UUUCAGGUUGUCCUUGGCCAAUCAUCUUGCUCGGCCCAUGUUGGUCCUGACUCAGGGCCCUUCCUGGCUGCGCGCAUCUCUCAGCCAAGGUGGAUUCAGGUGUGAGAGUUUCAGUGACGUCGGCAGGACGGUUGUGGGCUGUCCUCUCCUCUCUCCUUUGGCUUCUCCUGAAUUCUUGUGGUUAGUUUUCAGCGGCAGCACCAUGUUCCUUAUCAGGACUUCUGCUUGUGGUCUGGUUCUUAUCACCCCUGGCCAAGGUGGGAGGUUUUGGUCCACGGUUCCCUAACACGUGGAGACUGCUGGCUUCUUUUCCAAGAUGAUGCAGCAAUCUUUGAGAUUGCAAGAACCACGCACUAGGGGCUAUUUCUCUUUGCUUCAUAACGUUGAGGGACUUCUCAACCUCAUAAGAGUGAGAUGUUCACUCUGGAAUUCUCUCACGGGACUCUUCAAUUAAGUUGCUGUGACAUUCAGUACAACCCUAGUGAUUUAUGAGAACUCAGAGUAUUCUGUGAAUAGCCUAGAAAUAUCUCCAUGCAAUCAGAGUUUUCAUGACAGACAGCAGUAUAUAGUCUGGUCCCUCCAAGUCCUCUGGGCUUUGGCUGCAGUAAAGUGUUUCUCCAGCCUGACGCCCCCAAAGCACACAAGACAAUGGUUCCAUAAAAUGCAGAGCUGGGCACCCAAGUAGAUAGCAAGACCGCAAAAUCCGACGGCUUUGAAACCUACUCCGGCACAUUCUCACAUUCCAAUAUUUUACAGACAAGGGUAAUGAGCCCAAGAAUUACCGCCCUCCAGCUUCAGGGGAGUGAAAAAUGAAGGGUUGUUUUCCAAGUAAUGUGAGGCCAGACAGCUGGCUCAACAGUCAACAGUGCCAGGGCCUCUCCGGAGGCCCACGUCGGCCCCCACCUCCUUCCCACCAGCAAAUGUCAUGGUGCCCCCCGAGCCAGGGAAAUCUGUCCUUCUGCAGGAUGCAGAACUGCAAGAGGAAAGCAGGUUUUCCUGACUUGUGGUUUCCGAGGCUCUUAGAAUGUUGAAUGCAGCCUGUGCGUUGGCAGCCGAAGAACUCGAGAGAAACCACGGGGUUGGAAUUGAUUAGUUCCUGUUGGUCCCCCUCUUCCGCCAAUAUCAGUACCUGUCUCUUGAUAAAUAGACACGUGAACACACUCCAAACACCGGGUCCUCGACAGCAAGCAAUAAAAAUGUGCCUUGACCC